rnacentral:rRNA from 1 species
GCAGCCGCGGUAAUUCCAGCUCCAAUAGCGUAUAUUAAAGUUGCUGCAGUUAAAAAGCUCGUAGUUGGAUCUCGGUGUCACUGUUGCCUGUCAGUCAUUGGGCAGUUGGUUAUUGGUAUGCGGCCUCUGCUUGCGUGCCGUGAUCGGCUGUUCCAAGCUGGCGCGGUGGUGGUGUUACCUUUCAGCCAUGUCUGUGGUGAAAUACCCACAGGUGUAGGCGGGUGUCAGGCGGUGCCUUGCGACAGUAGGGCCCGUCGGCUCGUUUGCAUGCCUUUGGAUGCCCUUUAAAAGGUGUCUGCGGGCGGAUGGCACGUUUACUUUGAACAAAUUUGAGUGCUCAAACCAGGCCGAUGUUGCCUGAAAAGUUUUGCAUGGAAUAAUGGAAUAGGACUUCGGUUCUAUUUCGUUGGUUUUCGGAUCCGAAGUAAUGAUCAAAAGAGACAGGCGGGGACGUUUGUAUGGCUGCGCUAGAGGUGAAAUUCAUGGACCGUAGCCAGACAAACUAAAGCGAAAGCAUUCGUCAAGCAUGUUUUCAUUGGCCAUGAGCGAAAGUCAGAGGCUCGAAGACGAUCAGAUACCGUCCUAGUUCUGACCAUAAACGAUGCCAACUGAUGAUCCGUGGUGGUAGUCUAUCAACCUUCCCCACGGGCAGUCCCCGGGAAACCUUUAAGUCUUUGGGUUCCGGGGGAAGUAUGGUUGCAAAGCUGAAACUUAAAGGAAUUGACGGAAGGGCACCACCAGGAGUGGAGCCUGCGGCUUAAUUUGACUCAACACGGGAAAACUCACCCGGCCCGGACACUAUGAGGAUUGACAGAUUAAAAGCUCUUUCUUGAUUUGGUGGUUGGUGGUGCAUGGCCGUUCUUAGUUGGUGGAGCGAUUUGUCUGGUUAAUUCCGAUAACGAACGAGACUCCUGCCUGCUAAUUAGUGCAUUCGUCCACUGUUCCUGUGUAGGCGGCGUUUGGCAAGGCUGCUGCUUUAUGCUGCCGGUGUUUGAGCAUGCCCUCGGGUGUGUUUGGCACAUGGCGGUUCGGCUGCGGCUGGUCCGGCGUUAGCUUCCGGGUACGGCGCGGGUGCUUACUUCUUAGAGGGACAAGCGGGAGAAGCCGCACGAAAUAGAGCAAUAACAGGUCUGUGAUGCCCUUAGAUGUCCGGGGCCGCACGCGCGCUACAAUGACGGUGGCAAUGAGUCUGACCCCCUGGCCCGAAAGGGUUGGGUAAACUGGUCAAUCACCGUCAUGACAGGGAUCGGGGCUUGGAAUUGUUCCCCGUGAACGAGGAAUUCCUAGUAAGUGCAAGUCAUAAGCUUGUGCUGAUUACGUCCCUGCCCUUUGUACACACCGCCCGUCGCUACUACCGAUUGAAUGGUUUAGUAAGGUCCUUGGAUUGGCGCCAUUGUGGUUGCUGCCGAAAGGUAGUCCGCGAACGGUGCUGAGAAGACGACCAAACUUAUCAUUUAGAGGAAGUAAAAGUCGUAACAAG